UACGAAGGGGGCUAGCGUUGUUCGGAAUUACUGGGCGUAAAGCGCACGUAGGCGGACAUUUAAGUCAGAGGUGAAAUCCCAGAGCUCAACUCUGGAACUGCCUUUGAUACUGGGUGUCUUGAGUAUGGAAGAGGUGAGUGGAAUUCCGAGUGUAGAGGUGAAAUUCGUAGAUAUUCGGAGGAACACCAGUGGCGAAGGCGGCUCACUGGUCCAUUACUGACGCUGAGGCGCGAAAGCGUGGGGAGCAAACAGG
rnacentral:rRNA from 1 species